rnacentral:lncRNA from 1 species
GAGAGAGUGGGUAAUGCCUCAGGCUCUCCUUGUUUAAACACUAUCGAGGGGAGAGCUUGCAGAUACAACUGACUGGUGCACAGGUCUGCUGGGCAGCUGCAUAUUGAAGAAGACAAAGAGAAUGUAGUUAGCAGGAAAAACCAAAAGCUGGAUGGCAAAGGAAGAAGGAGAAACCCCUCUGGGAUCUUAGAAUCAAUCCAUAAUUCUUGGAGUCAAUGCGUGUGUCUGCUAUCAUCAAAUAGCUUUGAGAUAAUUGAAAAGAGAAACUGCUGGGAUCAGUCUUCUGGGACGAUGAACUGCUAUUGACUGUAAGAGUUCACUGCUCUGUCUGGAAGAAUUCAGGUAAGCACUUGAGGACACUAUUUACAAACCAAGGAGGAUUCACAAUUACUUCUAGUUCCCAGCAUCUAACUACAUCUUUUCUCUUAGCUGCAUCAUCCAAUCCUGAUUAAAGCAAAUCCUACAAUAUGUGACACUUAU